UAAGUUUCAGAACCCUAAUUAAAGGCCUCAAGCCCUCAACUAUAAAUGGUGAGCAGAUCAACUGAAAAAACUCAACGGUCCCUUGCUGUCUAGCCACUUCCCGCCGCGCUCUGCGUCAUUGGUCUCAAGGAAUCUCCCCACUUACCGCCGAUUUAUGUCAUUGAUCUCACAGAUUUUGCUGUCGCCACCUCUCGCUUGUCUAUGUGUGGUUAGAGUUUGUUGAAACUUAAAAAUCGACUAUGGAGAACCUCCCAGACGAAGUUUUAUCAAACAUUUUGAAGAUGAUUCAUAUCAGCGAGAUGGUGGAAUGUCAAAAGGCAACACAUCAGAUCUACUUCUUCCAUUUUUGUUAUAUCUACUCUGCAUGAUUCUAUGUUUCUUGAUUAGUUUCCUGUCAAGUAUCAAUUUUUAGUGCAUCACAUCUACUCCCACUCUUGUUACCA